rnacentral:rRNA from 1 species
UGGCUCGAUUGAACGCUGGCGGCAGGCGCUGGCGGCAGGCUCAACACAUGCAAGUCGAGCGGUAGCACAGAGAGCUGCUCUCGGUGACGAGCGGCGGAGUGAGUAAUGUCUGGGAAACUGCCUGAUGGAGGGGAUAACUACUGGAAACGGUAGCUACGCAUAAUGUCGCAAGACCAGUGGGGACCUUCGGGCCUCAUGCCAUCAGAUGUGCCCAGAUGGGAUUAGCUAGUAGGUGGGUAACGGCUCACCUAGGCGACGAUCCCUAGCUGGUCGAGGAUGACCAGCCACACUGAACCGAGACAGUCCGGACUCCUACGGGGAGCAGUGGGGAAUAUUGCACAAUGGGCGCAAGCCUGAUGCAGCCAUGCGUGUGUGAAGAAGGCCUUCGGGUUGUAAAGCACUUUCAGCGGGAGGAAGGCGGUGAGGUUAAUAACCUCAUCGAUUGACGUUACCCGCAGAAGAAGCACCGGCUAACCGUGCCAGCAGCCGCGGUAAUACGGAGGGUGCGUCGGAAUUACUGGGCGUAAAGCGCACGCAGGCGGUCUGUCAAGUCGGAUGUGAAACCGGCUCAACUCGAACUGCAUUCGAAACGGCAGUUGUAGAGGGGUAGAAUUCCGUGUAGCGGUGAAAUGCGUAGAGAUCUGGAGGAAUACCGGUGGCGAAGGCGGCCCUCUGACAAAGACUGACGCUCAGGUGCGAAAGCGUGGGAGCAAACAGGAUUAGAUACCCGUAGUCCACGCCGUAAACGAUGUCGACGGAGGUUGUGCCCUUGAGGCGUGGCUUCCGGAGCUAACGCGUUCGACCGCCGGGAGUACGCGGCGCAAAACUCAAAUGAAUUGACGGGGCCCGCACAAGCGGUGGAGCAUGUGGUUUACCCGAUGCAACGCGAAGAACUCACCGGUCUUGACAUCCACAGAACUUUCCAGAGAUGGAGCCUUCGGGAACUGUGAGACAGGUGCUGGCUGUCGUCAGCUCGUGUUGUGAAAUGUGUUAAGUCCCGCAACGAGCGCAACUCCUUAUCCUUGUUGCGCGUGGUUCGGCCGGGAACUCAGGAGACCGCCAGUGAUAAACCGGAGGUGGGAUGACGUCGUCAUCAUGGCCCUUCGCCGGGCUCACACGCCACGCAUACAAAGAGAAGCGACCGCGAGAGCAGCGGACCUCAUAAAGUAUGUCGUAGUCCGGAUUGAGUCUGCAACUCGACCCUGAAGCCGGAAUCGCGGUAAUCGUAGAUCGAAUGCUACGGUGAAUACGUUCCCGGCCUUGUACACACCGCCCGUCACACCAUGGGAGGGGUUGCAAAAGAAGUAGGUAGCUUAACCCCGGAGGGCCGUCACUUGUGAUUCGACGAGAAGUCGUAACAAGGUAACGGG